rnacentral:rRNA from 1 species
AUGAACCCCUCCUCGGCCCCGGGCCCGGAUGUACUGCCGGUAUUGUUCUUUAAAACAUUCUGGCAGACCAUUAAGCCAGAGGUUAUGGCCCUCUUCGACGAGUUCUUUUCUAGGACCAUGGACCUGGGGCGCCUGAACUAUGGGAUCAUUACCCUCAUCCCUAAAGUUCUUGGGGCCUCGGACAUCCGCCAGUUUCGCCCAAUCACCGUGAUCAACGUGAUCUUCAGGAUCCUAGCCAAGGGGUACGCCAAUAGGGUGACCCUUCUUGCGGACUCUAUUACCCACCCCAACCAGUCCGCCUUCAUCCAAGGCUGA